AUUUCCGAAUGGGGAAACCCACUUCAUUUGAAGUAUCCCGUACUGAAUACAUAGGUACGGNGAAGCGAACCCGGNGAACUGAAACAUCUAAGUAGCCGGAGGAANAGAAAUCAACCGAGAUUCCGANAGUAGCGGCGAGCGAAAUUGGACCAGCCAGAGAGUUUUAGCAAAANAGUUAACAGAAUAAUUUGGAAANAUUAGCCAUAGUGGGUGAUAGCCCCGUANGUAAAAACUGAUUUGUGGAACUAGGCUUUCGACAAGUAGGNCGGGACACGUGAAAUCCUGUUUGAAUAUGGGGGGACCAUCCUCCAAGGCUAAAUACUAGUAAUCGACCGAUAGUGAACCAGUACCGUGAGGGAAAGGCGAAAAGAACCCCGGAAGGGGAGUGAAAUAGAUCCUGAAACGAUAUGCAUACAAACAGUCGGAGCUCGUAAGAGUGACGGCGUACCUUUUGUAUAAUGGGUCAGCGACUUACAUUCAGUAGCAAGCUUAACUAAUUAAGGGAGGCGUAGGGAAACCGAGUCUUAACAGGGCGUUUAGUUGCUGGGUGUAGACCCGAAACCGGAUGAGCUAUCCAUGGCCAGGGUGAAGGUACGGUAACACGUACUGGAGGCCCGAACCCACUAAUGUUACAAAAUUAGGGGAUGAGCUGUGGAUAGGGGUGAAAGGCCAAACAAAUCCGGAGAUAGCUGGUUCUCCUCGAAAACUAUUUAGGUAGUGCCUCGUAUUUUGCUCCAGGGGGUAGAGCACUGUAAUGGUUGUUGGGGUCAUCGCGACUUACUUCGCCAUAGCAAACUCCGAAUACCUGGAAGUAUAAGUACGGGAGACAGAGCACUGGGUGCUAACGUCCAGACUCAAGAGGGAAACAACCCAGACCGCCAGCUAAGGUCCCAAAUAUUAGCUAAGUGGGAAACGAAGUGGGAAGGCACAGACAGUCAGGAGGUUGGCUUAGAAGCAGCCAUCCUUUAAAGAAAGCGUAAUAGCUCACUGAUCAAGUCGUCCUGCGCGGAAGAUGUAACGGGGCUAAGCUAAUAACCGAAGCUGCGGAUCUCGUAAGAGAUGGUAGAGGAGCGUUCUGUAAGCCUGUGAAGGUGACUUGAAAAGGUUGCUGGAGGUAUCAGAAGUGCGAAUGCUGACAUGAGUAGCGUUAAACAGAGUGAAAAACUCUGUCGCCGAAAACGCAAGGUUUCCUACGCAACGUUAAUCGACGUAGGGUGAGUCGGCCCCUUAGGUGAGGGCGAAAGCCGUAACCGAUGGGAAGCAGGUUAAUAUUCCUGCACCGCUGUUUAAUGCGAUGGGGAGACGGAGAAGGUUAGCUCAGCCGGGUGUUGGAUGUCCCGGUUUAAGCAUGUAGCCAUACCCAGUUGGCAAAUCCGCUGGGCUUAGGUGAGGUGUGAUGACGAGCAGGCUUGCCUGCAGAGUGAGUAAUACCAUGCUUCCAGGAAAAUCCUCUAAGCUUCAGUUAAACAGGACCGUACCGCAAACCGACACUGGUGCGUAUGCUGAAUAUGCUCAGGCGCUUGAGAGAACUCAGGAGAAGGAACUCGGCAAAUUGAUACCGUAACUUCGGGAGAAGGUAUGCCUCAAUUAGGUGAAGGAGUACAUCCGGAGCCGAAAGAGGUCUCAGAGAAUCGGUGGCUGCGACUGUUUAUCAAAAACACAGCACUCUGCAAACACGAAAGUGGACGUAUAGGGUGUGACGCCUGCCCGGUGCCGGAAGGUUAAGUGAUGGGGUGCAAGCUCUUGAUCGAAGCCCCGGUAAACGGCGGCCGUAACUAUAACGGUCCUAAGGUAGCGAAAUUCCUUGUCGGGUAAGUUCCGACCU
rnacentral:rRNA from 1 species